AAGCAGCACUUUUAAAUGAGGGUGUCAAAGAGAAAGACGUGAAUUUCUGGAGAUGUGGAAAAGCUUUCUCUAUUCCGAGGGUCCUUGGCCGUGAGGAUCUUUCUUUGCCACCGGAGGCUUAGCUCACCCUGAGCUCUGUUGAUCUGGGGUCAAGUUUUCCUCUGAUAAAGACGGAUAAAUGUUUAGACAACGCAGACAGAACUACAGGGAGUGACAACCACGACAACAAACGAUCUCAGUUUGAUGGACAGAAGAAAGAUUUAAUCAUAGCAAGUUGGUUGCUGUCCAAGAAUCAGUGAUUUUGACUUGAUUGCAUUCAGUGUGCAAGAACGCAAGAAAAGGAAAGGUUUAAGUAGUAAAAUGGCAUAUGUUUUCAAAUCGGAAGCCUCGUGGGCAGAGAAAAGGUAAGGAUACGUUGGAAAGGAAUGUUUAGAAUUAAAGGUGUGAAUGAAAAUGAAGAAAAUGAAGACAGCCAAAAAUCGUGAUUACACAAG